GCCUCUCUAGCUCAGUUGGUAGAGCAACGGUUUCGUAAACCGUAGGUCGUCGGUUCAAGUCCGAUGGGAGGCUCCA
rnacentral:tRNA from 1 species